CACUGAGGGUAUUUAUAUUUUGGGAGAGAUUUAUCAUUGUGGUGUGUGCAGUCCUUUCAUUAAAUUCUCAGCAGUAAGUGGUCUUAACCUCAGCGUAUGUAAACAGCCCCUCCUCUCACACCCAGAAUGCAUCUCUUUCCUAGGCACGGGGUGGGCCGCAACGCUUCACCAUAUCAACAUGGCUGCAGAUCCAAGGUCUCCGUCUCUCUGAUGCUGGCAGUUACUCUUGCAUCUCUCAGAAUGCACUGGGGAACGCUUCAGCCUCAGCUCAGCUUCAAGUGCUUAGGAAAGUUUCCCAGAGAUAAGGAAGAGUGAUGGUGACUUGGAUGACCAUGGUGACCCAGAGAAGGACUAUCAGCAAUGCAGAUGAUGAAGAUGAGGACCUGCCUGUAUCAGGGGAUUACUUCAAAUGGAGCAUUAAAAGAAUGCAAGGGAGAGGAUGACUGUAUAGAUUAGCAUUACUGUAGGACAGAAAUAUGCAAUAGGUUCAGAAUAUAUAUGGGCAUGUUCCCCAUGUUAAGCUAAUCAACUUGGUAUGCAUGAACCUCCCAGAUGAAUCAUUGCUUUUCACCAUGUAUUUUAGAGAUGGUCAAUUACUCGCAAAUACAACAGUUUAGAGAACAUGUUUGGAGAUAUUCCCAUAAGCCUACACAUCGAAAUAAGAAGAAACCCACAUCUGAUCAAAUGAAAGGAGCAAUGCCUGGUCAGCCUGUAAAUGAAAUGAACCUCCUGCCAGUAGAAGCAGCGAUUAAAUGGCUCUGUUUGA